rnacentral:rRNA from 1 species
AACGAACGCUGGCGGCAGGCUUAACACAUGCAAGUCGAGCGCCCCGCAAGGGGAGCGGCAGACGGGUGAGUAACGCGUGGGAACGUACCCUUUUCUACGGAAUAACCCAGGGAAACUUGGACUAAUACCGUAUGUGCCCUUCGGGGGAAAGAUUUAUCGGAAAAGGAUCGGCCCGCGUUGGAUUAGCUAGUUGGUGGGGUAAAGGCCUACCAAGGCGACGAUCCAUAGCUGGUCUGAGAGGAUGAUCAGCCACAUUGGGACUGAGACACGGCCCAAACUCCUACGGGAGGCAGCAGUGGGGAAUAUUGGACAAUGUGCGCAAGCCUGAUCCAGCCAUGCCGCGUGAGUGAUGAAGGCCCUAGGGUUGUAAAGCUCUUUCACCGGUGAAGAUAAUGACGGUAACCGGAGAAGAAGCCCCGGCUAACUUCGUGCCAGCCGCCGCAGUAACAC